GCUUAUAAGUGCUAUUCCUCUGCUUGAAAGCUGGGACUCUGUCUUACAUUCAUGUCCACAGUAAUAGCAGAAUGACUUUCAUAUAGAAGGUGCCAAAUAUAUGUUCAUUUAAUGAAUAAUGUUACUAAGUCACAGCAGUUGGUGUUGAUAAAUGGACCUGGAGACAUCUUGAUCCCAAAUUGAAUGUGGGGUAUAAUGAGCUCAGGCAGAAAAUGUCUUAGGGUGAACUUAUUCUGCUAUGUGAGAGUCUUCCAAAAGACCAUAGACCAGAAAGAAUAUUCAAUAAUUUCAUUCUAAUUUAAUUAACAAUAUAGAAAGGAUACUCCAGUUAUGGACAGAUUUCAUUAGGUGGUAAUUUGAAUGAGUGCAGCAGAUAUUAUUGGUGUCCUAUCCAUAGCCAUCAGUACUCACUUUUCCCUAACUUUCUAGGGCCUCCUACUGCAAGCACCUGCAAGUUGGCUUGAGAGCUUCCUCUGGCCAUGACAGCCUGUGUCACCAUGUGACCCAUGUGCAGAGCCGUCUGGAAGUGUCAGGGAAUUCAUGACCCUGGGAGCAGUUCACCCCUGAGCCUGCUGCAACCACAUUUCUGCCAACUUAGGGAUGUAGUCAAUGCACAGAAGGCUGAGUGACAAGGACUUCAGGGAAGCAGAGCCAGAGCCCUGGCACCAUGCCUGGAUCAUCUUGGCUUCUUGUUUCAUGAGAUAAUGAACAUUGGUUUUGAUUUUGGAGUGACAGUUUGUCCUGUGAACUCAAUCCCCUGGGACGGGAGCCUGAGAACACCAUUUACAUUACUCUUAACAAGCACCUGCAGGAGAUCAGGAAGGCAGAAGAGAAGCAGAAACCACUAUCUCUUUCAGUAAUGACAGACUAAUGCUUGCUCCUACCUGGCCUGAGAUUUUUCAGCAGCUUCCACUGAAUGGUGGUGCACACAGCUGUGACCAUGCAGCAUUUCCUUCAGAUCUGUACCUGGCAACAUGGCAACUUCCUGAUUCCUUGAAAGUUAGUCAAAACUAGGACUUAUUGUUGGCCUUGCCUAUGUGUUACAACUCUGGUUCUUUUAAAAGCUUUGAAACCACCUGUAAUAAAUCUCUUAUUGCUUGAAACACCCAGAGUGGAUUCUCUUUUCCAGAUCAAACACUGACUGAUAAAAUUACCCUCAAGUUGGAAGGAAGAGGCUGAAAUAUAAACUCUGUGGCUUAGUUGGACUGUGCUCUCUCCACUGCUCUUGGCUUGUUUACCUUCACUGCUGGAUAUCUUCCUUGUUCUGUAUUCUACAUACUCUCAUUUUCUGCAGGUAGUGUUAUUACAACUAUGUGGAAUAGAUUAUGGUAGGUUUUAAUGCAAACGACUUAUCAUUUGGAGAUUAUAAGAAACUAAAUAAAUUAGAUCCAGAAGUCUUUUUUUCUGAAAACCCAUUUGUUCUAUUUGGGAAGUCACUGGGUUGACUAGAUGUUUUCCUAUCACUGAUUUAAUGUUCUAAUCAAAGUUAUUCAUUCUGAGUUUAUAUUAUGCUGCAUUACUGAGCAAAAUGACAAGCCUUCUGGUAAAGCUGUCGCUUCAAAAUGAUGCCUUCUGUGGUGGUUUAGUAGGAAAUUGGCGGUGAAUUUCAAAGUAAUAACAGGGUUUUGAAAAUUAAAGAAACAAUUAAUAAAUAGACAUGUGCUCCAUGUCUCCCACUGUCCAAUUCAUCCUAUAUAUUGGUGUCAGAAUAUUUCUUUAUAAAAAUCUUUCCGAUUAUGGCAUCACUAUGCUCAAGUCUUUCCAAGUCUUACUAUGAAUACAGACGAAAUACAGACUCUAAACCACAGCAUGUAAGUUAUUCUAUGAUGUAUGCCUUCUGCAGAUCUUCCUCAACUUACAAUGAGGAUACAUCCCAAUAAACCCAUUGUAACUUGAAAUUAUCAUGAGUUGAAAAUGCAUUUAAUACACCUAACCUACC